CUACGGGCGGCUGCAGUGAGGAAUAUUGGUCAAUGGGCGAGAGCCUGAACCAGCCAAUCCGCGUGCAGGAUGACGGCCCUAUGGGUUGUAAACUGCUUUUGUAUGGGAAGAACUCCCUGACGUGUCAGGGGCUGACGGUACCAUACGAAUAAGCAUCGGCUAACUCGGUGCCAGCAGCCGCGGUAAUACGGAGGAUGCGAGCGUUAUCCGGAUUUAUUAGGUUUAAAGGGUGCGUAGGCUGAAUAGUCAGUCAGUGGUGAAAUCCUACGGCUUAACCGUAGAACUGCCAUUGAUACUGCUAUUCUUGAGUACAGUUGAGGUAGGCGGAAUGUGUAGUGUAGCGGUGAAAUGCUUAGAUAUUACACAGAACACCAAUUGCGAAGGCAGCUUACUAAACUGUCACUGACGCUGAGGCACGAAAGCGUGGGGAGCGAACAGGAUUAGAUACCCCCGUAGUC
rnacentral:rRNA from 1 species